GACAGAGGGGGCAAGCGUUGCUCGGAAUCACUGGGCGUAAAGGGCGCGUAGGCGGGAUGGCAAGUCAGUCGUGAAAUCUCUCGGCUCAACCGAGAAACGUCGGCUGAUACUGCCGUUCUUGAGGGAUGCAGAGGAGACUGGAAUUCCCGGUGUAGCGGUGAAAUGUGUAGAGAUCGGGAGGAACACCGGUGGCGAAGGCGGGUCUCUGGGCAUUUCCUGACGCUGAGGCGCGAAAGCUAGGGGAGCAAACAGG
rnacentral:rRNA from 1 species